rnacentral:rRNA from 1 species
AGCGAACGUUAGCGGCGGGCCUAACACAUGCAAGUCGCACGAGAAAGGGGCUUCGGCCCUGAGUAAAGUGGCGGACGGGUGCGUAACACGUGGGUAAUCUGCCUCUCGGCGGGGGACAACAGUCCGAAAGGAUUGCUAAUACCGCAUACGUCGCGUGGGACCCAGGUCCCGCGCGGGAAAGCCGGCCACUCCACGGAAGCUGGCGCCGAGAGAGGAGCCCGCGGCCCAUCAGCUUGUUGGUAGGGUAACGGCCUACCAAGGCUAAGACGGGUUGCUGGGCGGAGAGGAGGAUCAGCAACACUGGGACUGAGACACGGCCCAGACUCCUACGGGGUGCAGCAGUGGGGAAUAUUGGGCAAUGGGCGCAAGCCUGACCCAGCCACGCCGCGUGAGUGAUGAAGGCCUUCGGGUCGUAAAGCUCUGUGGGGAGGGACGAAAAAACGGGACCCAACACGUCCUGGACUGACGGUACCUCCUUAGCAAGCACCGGCUAACUCCGUGCCAGCCGCCGCAGUAAGAC